GAAAUCACAAUUUGGGGCCUAAUGCAGAGGAGGAUGUGUUACAACUUGACUCAGUCAGUGACUACACUCUCCUGGAGUGUAAAUAAACUCCUACCUAAAUGCCCUGUGAAAGUUUCUGUGUCUUCUCUCACUGAACUGUCUCUUCAGUUAAGAGACGUGUUAAGUAAAAGCAAAGCAAGGUUGUCUGUGCUGCAGCAGCAGCCGAGGAUUCAGCUUAACUGGGUCAGAGUAAAUCCAGUCAGAUGGUCUGCACACAUAACAUCUUCUGCUUGUGGACAAAGUAAGGCCACUGAGCUUUAGAUCAGCAGCACGCUGUCUCCCACUCACAUACACACAAACUCACGAGGGCACACAUGAAGAGAGGGUGACAAACCAGGUUCAAGUCACCAGCAGAUGUUCAGAGAAACUAGAGCACAAACUUUUCUCUUUAUUUUACACUUUGCUCAAAAUGAAAAGAAGUAAAGUAAGACCAUGAGUGCAAAACUAAAGCAGUUAGUAUACAGACAACAUCUGUCUGUUAAAUUAAAAUAAAAUACCCAAACAUGUACAAACUGGGAAUUACUGUAAAUACUUAAAGUGGCUGUUUAGCUGACAUGACCCUCUUACACCAGUUAAAGGCAUUUAAAACCACAACAUAAAAAUAAUUCAUCUCUUUGCUGAUGGUCUUGUUUGCUUUUGUAUAUCAUAGAAAAGCAUCAAUAUAAUAUAUAACAUAGGAUUUGAUUGACAAAAUAGUAGUGUUAGAAUUAUCAGAAAAAAUCACUUUUCAAAGAGACAGAAAAACCUGACCUUACUCUGAACUGGCAAGAGUGAGUGUGAGCGUUUAAACCCUCAUCACAGAACUUAUUGAUUGAUAAGGUUUCCAAUAAUCAAUUAGUUUUAUGUUACAAGCAUCUUCCUGACUUAUCUUAAACCAGCAAUAGCUAGAUAAUAAGUGGUUGGAUGCUGUUAUAAGCUGUCAUCGAACAGUUACGGUUGGAUUGAUAAGUAUUUUGGUCCUUUGGUUUGAUUAUUCAAAUAUUUCCUUCAUUUAUACAACCUAAAACCACAAUGACUUAUUAAAGCAGCAUCUGAGCUUCACACCCUGAGCUUAACAUCACAGGAAAAUGGCGGCUGUGUGAGUACUGUGACUGUAAAUAGGGGGACCAUUUAGUCCAGCUCAAAUUCAUUUGUGCAGCAUUAUAUCCUACAACAGCAGUUAAGGGUUCAAGAUUACAUGAGACAAAGGUAAAAAAAAUAAAUAAAUAAAAGUUCUCAUCAGACUUGAAUUCAUUCAUUUCACAUUCAACCACAAACACAAGUUUGAGUCUUAAUUUAUGAAAUUGCUUGGGUGCAAAGUUCAGUCUUUGGCCAAGUGUAAAAACAGAGCAAGUCAGGGUCAAUUUGAUCUGCAGUUUUUGUUAAAUGACUGAAUUCUUUUGGAUCAAGUGUUGAGCCAGAUCACCAAGUAAUCCAUAAAGAGGAUUUGAAUUUUUAUCUGACAACAAUAGGAGACCAACAAAGGCUGUAGAAGAUUAAACUCUUCAACCUAUUUGGGUCUGAGUUUUGGAUGAGUUGUAAUCCAUGUAAUCCAGGGACUGUUUUGUGUGAAAGACCCAUUAAUAGACAAAAAAAUAAAUAAUAAAAUAAAUAAACAUGGAUUUUUCCCGAUUUAUCUUGGAAAAGGGCCUGAGGCAGCUCCUUCAGCUCCUUUACUGUCUAUGUCAGCGCCAUGACAACAGCAAUAAAUUCAUCAUGAAGAAGUCUAUAAAUCUAGAAGAUGAAGCCACUUUCAUUUGUUUUGAACUCCUGUUUUUAACCUUGAGUUCAGCAAUUUUGUAGCUGCCAUCUUGUUUUUAGAGCUUUAAGUGGCCAAGAGGAUGGCAAGAUAAACAAGAAUUUCUGUGUUUUUCAAAGUUGACAGGCUACCGUGAUCAAGACUAAUCCAUCAUAAGAAGCCAUAGUCAGCUUUAUCAUCAUUUUAAUCUCCAUUAUUGGGUCUUCAUAAAACACAGAUCCUAAGGACAGGAUCCUAAGAGUUGGAAGUGGACUGGUAAACAAUGGUGUUGUCAAGUCAGUGUUAAUCCUAUCAUUUUGUGAAAAGUCAGUUGUAUGUGACCACUUGUUCUUUUAAGUAAUAACCCAAGACUAGCCAACAUUUUUCAAGCAAGAGUUAAGCUAGUUGGAUAGUCACAGUCCCUGCACCACGGCAAAGUCAAUAUACACUGUAGUAUAUGGUUUUGAAAUGGCAUUUAAUAUACUCAAUAUUAUAUUAAAAUUUCAUGCAUUAGAGGCUUUUGUCCAAAGUGACGUACAUCUGAGAGUAAGAACAACAAAAGCAAAGAUCCAGAUGAAAGUAAUGACACUUUUGCACCAAGUACCAAGUAUUGAGUUUUUCACAAAGAACUGGGUCUUUAGCUUUUUCUUAAAGGUAGAAAAACACUCUGCAGAUUAGUUUGAGUUCGGUGAUUCAUUCUACCAUCAGAGGAUUACAGAGGAGAAGGGCUUGACCCUGGUGAGAUGGAAGUGUAAGGGUGAGAGGCAGGUUGGACCUGGGUUGACCACAGGGGAGCAGGAGCCAAGUUGUUAGUGUUUUUUAAUUUGAUGUGAGCUGCAAUCAAAAGCAAGUUUGAGGAUGUGAACAGGGGAGUGACAUGCUGUUUUGGGCCGCUUGAAGACCAGUCAGGCUGCUGCAACAAGCAGAAGUGUAAAUGAGCAUGCAGGGAGGCAUGCCAGUGAGAAACCGUCAAUGCACGGUACUAUGAGUCAAUGGUACUAUACCAGGAGCUGUGGUGCAUGCUCGGUUGGGUAGAAGCUGAACCUCCUGAUGUUAUAGAGGGCAAAUCAGAAUUAAUGAGCAAUUGAGGCCACAUGAACCUCAAAUCAUUGAUUAUGGCACCUGGAUUCCAGGUUGGCAUGGUGGGCAUGAGUUUGGUUGAUCCACGUUUGAUAUUGAGCCGUGUCUGAAUAGAGAGACUUGCUGGAAUGACAAGAAGCUCAGGUUUGGAUAGAUCUUCAUCAGUUUUGAAAUAUCAGUGAGGCAUGCUGAAAUCAAAGCAAGACAGUUGUGUCAGUUGGUGGAAGUGACAGAAAGAGUUGAGUAUCAUCUGCAUAGAGAGGAAUUGCAUCAAGUGAGAUAGUGUAUAUAGAGAGAAGUAGAGGAGCAAGCACUGAUCCUGGAGGCACCCCUGUUGAUAAGCCAUACUAUUUCGACACUUGUUCCCUUCAGAUACUGUAAAGACUGUACUUGUGAAGUUAGCUGUAAACCAUAAGGGGAAAAUCCUGAAGUGGAGAGGAGGACAGACAGAUCCAGGAGUAAUAAAAGUGGGGACUGACCAGCAGCUCUGGUCAAUCACAGUGAUUCCACUACAGACAAAAGUGCAGUUUCAGUGGAGUGAUUUGGAUCAAAUGGACUGUUGUUCAGGACCUGGCUAUUGACUAUGUGCUCAAGUAGUUCUGACGAUAAAAGCAGAG
rnacentral:lncRNA from 1 species